CCCGGGAGCGGGGAGCCACCAGG
rnacentral:piRNA from 1 species